rnacentral:rRNA from 1 species
GCUAAGUUCGGAAUUGAUAAGCGCUGAAAGCAUCUAAGCGCGAAGCGAGCCCUGAGAUGAGUCUUCCCUGACAGUUUAACUGUCCUAAAGGGUUGUUCGAGACUAGAACGUUGAUAGGCAGGGUGUGUAAGCGUUGUGAGGCGUUGAGCUAACCUGUACUAAUUG